UAGCCCUUUAGUGUAGCGGUCAAGCAUAUGGGACUCUGACUCCCAUGACCCAGGUUCGAAUCCUGGAGGGGCUAU
rnacentral:tRNA from 1 species